CAGAGUUGCAAAACUCCCAAACCAUUGUGAACGUCACCGUAUCGUUUCUUCGGCGGGCGGCUCCCCACCCGGGGCCGCGCCUACCCCUCACGGGGUGGCAGCCCGCCGGAGGCGUCGAAACUCUCAGCAUCUUAUGGCAUCUCUGAGUAACUUACAAAAUAAGUUA
rnacentral:misc_RNA from 1 species